GUCUUCGUGGCUCAGUUGGCUAGAGCGUUGGUCUCAUAUUUUCAUAUGAGAAGAUUGUUCACAGUCUUUGCCAUCCAAAGGUCGUGAGUUCGAGCCUCACCGAGGACA